UCACUGUCGCCUGGUGAAAAUAUCUGGUGUUCCUGUCCCCCUCCAUAAUCCACUGUACCCUCGCCUUCUGUCUCCAAAAUAUCUCCUGCUGUCUAAGUAGGCCAUCAUGCAGAGCAAGUAAGGAUCUAAGCUCCCCCAUAACCUCAUCUGACAGACCCCCCCCCCUCGAGCCUCCUGAUCCUGUAACCUAACAAUGGCCACCUCUGACUCCUCAAUCCUCC
rnacentral:lncRNA from 1 species